ACAGGUCAGUCAAACAACAAUAAACACACACAAAAAAAAGUACACAUUAUUGGUUUCAAUUAUUUGAUUGUGGCCAUGCUGGGGCACCAUCUUUAAAGGUUUUUUUUUUUUUCUUCGUCAAUCCUUUUGAUUGCAGUAUUUAUUCUUGUUUGAUACUUAUCUUAGCAAUCUCUUUUUGUUGGAUUGCUAAGUGACAAGACUUAAAGAGACACAGUGUAGAUAACACCUGUUUUUAUAUUCGUGUAAAGCACACACACACACACACACACACACACACACACAUGUACAUAUUUGUAGAUAUACAAUCAUAUUUAUAUAUAUCUGUAUGUGUAUAUAUGUGUGUGUGCAUGCGCACGUGUAAACUUUGUGUUAGUCAAGAUACGUUUGUAAUAUAUUUCAACUUUUAAAAGCAAAUUCACUGCAGUUACCAUGGAGAUAAAAAAAUUCUCUCUAAUGAUAAAUGGUGUAAAAAUGCUGUAUCUGCCCAGUGUUGUCCUCUAUUGGGGGCAACACUGGGCAGAUGUUGCUUUUUGUCUCCACAGCAAUUGCAGUGAAUUUGAAAUGUGUCACAAACAUAUUUUAACUAUCCUAAAGUUUGCUUAUGCCUAAACACUGCUUAGCAUUGAUACUGCUGAAUUUCUUGUGACUGGGGGGUCCAGUGGCACAACUCAGUCAAUUUUUAUUUAAAGCAGUGGUCCCCAUACUUUUUCAGGCUGCCGCCCCCUUGACACCCAGGCCAUAUUCCUAGCGUCCCCACCCCAGUUAACCAUCACAAACAUAAACCUCUUUCUGAUGUAGAUUCAAAGCAAUUCUAUUUCACAAAUAGAAUUUAACCUAAUGACCCCAUUAUUUUGUUUUUACAUGAAUCACUACCCCAUUAUCGCCCUAUUUUUUUUUACAUGAAUCAACUUAAUCCCCUUGUUUGUACCCUUUAUGUUUAGCCUCUUGUGGGCAAUAAAGAAAUAAGAAACCUGUAUAAAAUGUAUUUAUUUCUUUUACAUUUCUAGAGAGUAAAGUUCCUUCUGUCUUUCCCGCAACUCAACUAUGCUCUCGCUUUGAAUCUUUCUAAAAACUAUACAUCCAUAAAACAACUGUUAACAAGUUCUGCUGAGGAGAUUGCUCAAAAGGGGAAAACAUCUGCGGCCCUUGCUAACAAAAUUCAUGCCUAUAUGCACCACCAAAGCUCCAAAGAUAUGUGAUAAAUUAAAAAAGGAAAAAAAAAAGAUAUAUAUUUUGUUAUUUUUUGAAAUAAAUUAUUUUAUAUUGUU